rnacentral:tRNA from 1 species
GGACCCGUAGUGUAGAGGCCCAACACGUCUCCCUGUCACGGAGAAGACCGCCGGUUCGAAUCCGGUCGGGUCCGCCA